rnacentral:sRNA from 1 species
GUAAGAACCUAUGGGCAAUCGGGGCUAUCAACAUGAAUCUAAGAAUAUUU